rnacentral:lncRNA from 1 species
AUCUGCAUUCCCACCCCCCACCCCUUCCCAGCUCCUACCCGCGGCCUUAUUGCCGUUGCCCUGCCCACUGAACCCAAGUUCCUCUCCCCGGGCCUUCCAUUUCCCAAGAUAAACAAAAGCCACUUGUUUUUCAGGGCUUUAAACGCCAGCACCCGCUUUCUGCCCCCUGCGUCGGACUCGAGGCCCCUCCGCGCUCCCCCCCGGACAGGAGCCCCACCACCCACAGCCGCCUUUCAGCCCCCGCCCGAGCGCCACUUCCGGAUCGCCGGUGUCUCCACUUUCCCAGUCCGCCCACCUCCCCCGCGCAUUUCCGAGGGCUUUGUCUUUAAACACUGGCGGGGUCGGAUCGGGGACGCAGGCUCGCCCAGCACAGGAGGGAGGUCUCCUAGAAGACGCCCCGAGAGGCUGCUCCAGCCCGGGGACUCCCGCGUCGCGGCGAAGUCGGUGGGCAGCGGUGGAGGGACAGUUUGUUUGGAGCACGGAAGCGGGUACACCGGAAGUGGCGCCGUCCGGAGGCUGCGCCGCGGCCGCUGGCGGGUGCCGGCUACCGGGAGGUGGAGAGGACGCCACGGUCCUCUAUGGCGUAAGUGUCAGCCGAGGGUGCGGUGCGCCAGGGGCGGGAGCCGGCCUGGUUCUAGCCCUGGCCCUACGGUGGAAGGUCCGGCUGGGUUCCGGGAGGGAGGGCCUCCUGGGGGAAACUGGACCGGUGAAGCGCUGCGGCGGCCAGAGGGGAUCCCGCUCCCUUCUUUCUCCCAUUCCGGGGGGUCUGCUCUCUUCAGUUCGUCAGCUUAUGCCUCCCGCUCUUCACCAGGCGAGUUGAGGGCAGUUGUACUAGUCAGCAGUUGCAGCUGGAGUAGACACAGCCCCCUUGUGCUUUCGGCUUCUGGGAGCGGGGGAGCGGCCUUUUCGGUGGGGACUGUUGCUUUUAGGCCUCUCCAACCCCUCCUGAGAAAAGCUUUUUUUUUUUUUUUUUCCCCACCUUCGCUGCCCUACCGACUCAGUUACUUCUCAUGUUUGUCUUUACCCCCUUCAGCUUCUGACUUUGACUCUGCACCUUAA